rnacentral:rRNA from 1 species
UACAGAGGGUGCAAGCGUUAAUCGGAAUUACUGGGCGUAAAGCGCACGUAGGUGGCUUGAUAAGUUGGGUGUGAAAUCCCCGAGCUUAACUUGGGAAUUGCAUUCAAGACUGUCUUGCUAGAGUGUGGAAGAGGGAAGCGGAAUUCCGGGUGUAGCGGUGGAAUGCGUAGAGAUCCGGAGGAAGACCGGUGGCGAAGGCGGUCUGCUGGGCAGUUUCUGACACUGAUGCGCGACAGCGUGGGGAGCAAACAGG